GACGAACGCUGGCGGCGUGCCUAAUACAUGCAAGUAGAACGCUGAAGGAGGAGCUUGCUCUUCUGGAUGAGUUGCGAACGGGUGAGUAACGCGUAGGUAACCUGCCUGGUAGCGGGGGAUAACUAUUGGAAACGAUAGCUAAUACCGCAUAAUAGUAGAUGUUGCAUGACAUUUGCUUAAAAGGUGCAAUUGCAUCACUACCAGAUGGACCUGCGUUGUAUUAGCUAGUUGGUGAGGUAACGGCUCACCAAGGCGACGAUACAUAGCCGACCUGAGAGGGUGAUCGGCCACACUGGGACUGAGACACGGCCCAGACUCCUACGGGAGGCAGCAGUAGGGAAUCUUCGGCAAUGGACGGAAGUCUGACCGAGCAACGCCGCGUGAGUGAAGAAGGUUUUCGGAUCGUAAAGCUCUGUUGUAAGAGAAGAACGAGUG
rnacentral:rRNA from 1 species